GACGAAGGAUCCAAGCGUUAUCCGGAUUCAUUGGGUUUAAAGGGCGCGUAGGCGGGUUUCUAAGUCAGGUGUUUAAUCCCGGGGCCCAACCCCGGACAGGCACUUGAAACUGGGAAUCUUGAAUAGUGGAGAGGUCAGUGGAAUUGGGGGUGUAGCGGUGGAAUGCGUAGAGAUCCCCAAGAACACCAGUUGCGAAGGCGGCUGACUGGACACAUAUUGACGCUGAGGCUCGAAAGCAUGGGGAGCAAACAGG
rnacentral:rRNA from 1 species